rnacentral:rRNA from 1 species
GACGAACGCUGGCGGCGUGCUUAACACAUGCAAGUCGAACAGUGGCGAACGGGUGAGUAAUGCGUAAGAACUUGCCUCACAGUUAGGGACAACAUUUGGAAACGAAUGCUAAUACCUAAUACUGUGAGAGAGCUUUGCGUCCCAUUAGCUAGUUGGAGAGGUAACGGCUCACCAAGGCGAUGAUGGGUAGCCGGCCUGAGAGGGUGAUCGGCCACAAGGGGACUGAGAUACGGCCCAGACUCCUACGGGAGGCAGCAGUGGGGAAUUUUGGACAAUGGGCGCAAGCCUGAUCCAGCCAUGCCGCGUGUCUGAAGAAGGCCUUCGGGUUGUAAAGGACUUUUGUUAGGGAAGCGGUACCUAAAGAAUAAGCACCGGCUAACUACGUGCCAGCAGCCGCGGUAAUAC